rfam:Rhizophagus irregularis DAOM 181602 strain DAOM 197198 GLOINscaffold_16702_Cont16649, whole genome shotgun sequence.
GGUGACAUGGCCGAGUGGUCUAAGGCGCUGCGUUCAGGUCGCAGUCUCAGCAAUGGGGCGUGAGUUCGAAUCUCACUGUCACCA